CAGUUGUCGAGCUCUAACCCCAUGUUCAUGUACGUAUACUAGGGUACUGCCAUGUUAAAGUAUGGGUAAAUAUCGAGCUCGACAACUGGCCUCUGUAGCUCAGUUGGUUAGAGCGCUGCACGGGAAGCACAGGGGCACAGGUUCGAUUCCUGCCAUGCAGAGGCUUGGGACCAUAGAUAUACAUGGGAUCAUAGAUAUGCAUGGGACCACAGUGAGAUAGCAAACAUCGUCAUCUGUUCGGUUUCAUUUUUUAAAAUAUUUAUCACAUAGCUCAAGUGUUUUUAUAAUAUCAAUGUCAAUAUCAUUGUCAAAAUCAAUUCGUAUUUCAAAGAAGGUAAUAAAGUUAGAGGAAACAAACACUAUAGUUUUCGUUCUUUUAAUUUCUACGACAAUCAUCUACAGUUAAAAUAAUUUUCUUUUUCAUUAGAUGAAAUAAUUCCCUACUUAUCACAUGCCUACUACUUUAUUAAUUGAAGAGCUUUAGAUAUCUCUACCAAGAUCGCUACAUUAUUAUAUUGCAAAAAGAAAGCUCCUGUAAGACUAUACAUGUCCAUAUACUUGAUAAGCGUCCAAUUUCAUCAUCACAGCCAGUAAAAAAUGUACGUGACACCAAAUUUCUAUUUCUACACCGAAUUUUAAUCAGUUCUAUUUCUAAACUUGGGUUUUUCAACUACAAAGAUUUGUUUCAAUUCAUAAUUUUCCUGUUAAACCUGAUUCAGACAUAUUGUUCUAUUCCUGAGCGAUUACACUUAUUCGUAUGCGUCAACAACAGAAAAUCCGACAAAAUUGCUAGACAGUGUGACACACAUUCAAUCAAAUCAGUUUUGGACUAACUAUUUGAUUUAUAACACGUUUAACUACCCUGGAGAGACUACAAUUCUUGUGAUUUCUAAGAAGGCAUCACUAUUGGAAAAACCCUGGAUAAAUUAGGAAACAUUGCAGAAAUAUUUUAAAAAUCCGAUAUUUCCUCAAGUGAUUUGCCAAACAGUAGAAAUGCCUUUUUCUUUUUAGGAAGAAAAAACGUUUCCCGACAAAUUUAGAAGUACAUUUUGUUUUCCUAUAUGUCUAGUUUGUUCAAUUCCGUUCCAGAAAGACACUCAGAAGUCUCCUAAUUAAUAUAUCCAAUGUUUCCUAGCAAAAAUGUUUUCUGCAAAGACGUCAUUAUUAAUUAUUUUAAAUGAAUAUCACAUCUUUCCGAAAAAUGGGAGAUUUAAAACGAUGCAGAGUUUUUGCGAAACCUUCAGAACUUAUUGAUCAAUUUAUGACAAUUUUUGGAAUAAUCCGUAUAAAGAAUGAAAUGUAGUAAUUCUAGCUAUGACAAUGUAUUUCUAUAUUACUGUGCGUAUUUGUUCCAUUGUGGUAUAUUUGGUUUAUACCAACGAACGGGCAUACGCAAGGUUGUUGCAAGGCCACUGUUGUGCAUCUGUAAAGAAACACGAUGGUAAUAUUCAACAAGACUUUGAAUUGUUGGAUGAUUAGUAAAACCUUCUGCAAAUCCAAAUCCUUCGGGACUUUCUUCAAUGCAAAAAUGCUUGAUUGUCUGAUCAAAC
rnacentral:tRNA from 1 species